rnacentral:rRNA from 1 species
GUGAGGAAUAUUGGUCAAUGGGCGCAAGCCUGAACCAGCCAUGCCGCGUGCAGGAUGAAGCAUCUAUGGUGUGUAAACUGCUUUUGUACGGGAAGAAACCCUUGCUCGUGAGCAAGAUUGACGGUACCGUAAGAAUAAGGAUCGGCUAACUCCGUGCCAGCAGCCGCGGUAAUACGGAGGAUCCAAGCGUUAUCCGGAAUCAUUGGGUUUAAAGGGUCCGUAGGCGGUUUUAUAAGUCAGUGGUGAAAUCUCCCCGCUCAACGGGGAAACGGCCAUUGAUACUGUAAGACUUGAAUGGUUGUGAAGUAACUAGAAUAUGUAGUGUAGCGGUGAAAUGCUUAGAGAUUACAUGGAAUACCAAUUGCGAAGGCAGGUUACUAACAAUUUAUUGACGCUGAUGGACGAAAGCGUGGGGAGCGAACAGGAUUAGAUACCCUAGUAGUCC